rnacentral:rRNA from 1 species
UACGGAGGGAGCUAGCGUUAUUCGGAAUUACUGGGCGUAAAGCGCACGUAGGCGGCUUUGUAAGUAAGAGGUGAAAGCCUGGAGCUCAACUCCAGAAUAGCCUUUUAGACUGCAUCGCUUGAAUCAUGGAGAGGUGAGUGGAAUUCCGAGUGUAGAGGUGAAAUUCGUAGAUAUUCGGAAGAACACCAGUGGCGAAGGCGGCUCACUGGACAUGUAUUGACGCUGAGGUGCGAAAGCGUGGGGAGCAAACAGG